GAGAUAUGAAAAUAAAGGGGGAAAAAUUGUUUGUUUGUUAGGAUUAAAUAUUAGUCUUGUUAUGGUAGACUUAAUAGUGCCCUGUUCAGUUAUUUUGCUGUCAAGAAAAGCACUGCAAGUGGGAUGUCAUUAUAUUGAACUACAAAAUUUUAUCUGGCUUAAUCAGGCACGUGCAGAGGGGGGGGCUGGGGGUGCUUGAGCACCUGCCCUUUUUUCUCCUUGCCCUAAAGUGCCCUUUUGGUCCAAUUUUUUUUUUUUUUUUUUAAAGUUAAUUUCCUAAGCCCUCCUCUGAUAUGUACUAAAAUUAUUAUUUUUUGUUGUUGUUGUUGUUUUUAUUUAAAGAAAAACAACAUAAUAAGCCCUUCGGGUCACCUUGUUACCUUUGACCUUUUGUCCGUGACGCAUGACGCAGCUGCCUCCCGCUCAGUCAGUGAGACUGCGCAGUAGCUUACUGCGGAGCUCAACGUGGAGGAGGAAGGAAGGAAAAUUCAAAGAUGCCACGUAAAGAAAGACGGCAGAAACAAAAAAGAAAAGAAUUGAUAGAUGCAGCAAAAGGUAGUGGAUUGUUGACCGACUGGGUCAGAACGAGUACUGCAGGUACGAACAAAAAAAAAUGUUCUUAACAUUAUCAACAUGUAACCUUUGGUAGUGAACAAUAUAUUUAAUAUUACAGGGCAUCUGUUGUGUUUUUCUUAUGCUAAGAUGUACUAAAUUUAGGUGUAGAAUAAUGAUUAGUUUGUUUCUUGCUCCCAGAUGGACAGAAGGAAAGUGAUAGAUCAGAGGAGGAGACAAAAAUGCAGUCAACAACACAGGAAGACAGGCAAGGAGAGGGACAACAGUCAGAAAUAAACACUAUGGAUGAAAAUGCAGAGCAACAAGUCAGAGAGAAGCCAUUCAUAUUUUUAAUGGACCUUCCACACCCAAAUGACCCAGCACAUGUCUUGCAAUUCAACAUAAAAUAUGAUGAAGCAUUUAUCCAAAAUUGUGUAAACCAAGGACCAUGCCAACCAGAGCUGUCAUUUCCUAAAAAUGAAGAAGGAAGGUCUUUUCAGAAUAAAUGGUAUAAGAGUAACCCAUGGCUGGAGUAUUCUCCCAGUUUAAAUUCCAUGUUUUGUUUUAGCUGUCGUGUUUUUUUGAAUGAAGAAAAGCACAUGUUCCGCAAAUCAUGGAAGACAAUAGGAUUAAACAGAUGGAACAAAGCAUUACAGAAAAUUAAAGAGCACAGUGGAUCAUAUGCAUAGUGUUAUGCUCCAUAUAGAGUUUUUCCUUAGCUUAUAUUGUAUGUCUCACAAUUUUGUAAUUUAUCAUUUUUAUUAAGCUCUGAAAGCUGUGUGGUUUUGUUAAUAGUCUUUCCUAGAAUGCGGUUAGAUGUGCCCUUUUUUUUUUUUUUGAGCACCUGCCCUUUCAGUGGUCUCUGCACGGGCCUGG